GACGAACCGAGCAAACGUUAUUCGGAAUCACUGGGCUUAAAGGGCGCGUAGGCGGGUCACCAAGUCCGGGGUGAAAUCUUUCGGCUCAACCGGAAAAUUGCCUUGGAUACUGGUGGUCUUGAGGGAGGUAGGGGCAUGUGGAACUUCCGGUGGAGCGGUGAAAUGCGUUGAUAUCGGAAGGAACGCCGGUGGCGAAAGCGACGUGCUGGAUCUCUUCUGACGCUGAGGUGCGAAAGCUAGGGUAGCAAACGGG
rnacentral:rRNA from 1 species